GGCUCAGUAGCUCAGUGGUAGAGCAGGGGAUUCAUAAGCCCUUGGUCACAGGUUCGAGUCCCGUCUGAGCCA
rnacentral:tRNA from 1 species